UAGAUAGUGGUGUAGUUGGAAGCACGAAGGGUUUUGAUCUCUUCAGGUUGGGUUCAAGUCCCAUCUCUCUAA
rnacentral:tRNA from 1 species